rnacentral:rRNA from 1 species
AUUGAACGCUGGCGGCAGGCCUUACACAUGCAAGUCGAACGAGUGGCGGACGGGUGAGUAAUGUAUGGGAACCUGCCUGAUGGCGGGGGAUAACUACUGGAAACGGUAGCUAAUACCGCAUACCAUCGGAUGUGCCGAGAUGGGAUUAGCUAGUGGGUGGGGUAAAGGCUCACCUAGGCGACGAUCCCUAGCUGGUCUGAGAGGAUGACCAGCAACACUGGAACUGAGACACGGUCCAGACUCCUACGGUAGGCAGCAGUGGGGAAUAUUGCACAAUGGGCGCAAGCCUGAUGCAGCCAUGCCGCGUGUAUGAAGAAGGCCUUCGGGUUGUAAAGUACUUUCAGCGGGGAGGCGUUACCCGCAGAAGAAGCACCGGCUAACUCCGUGCCAGCAGCCGCGGUAAUAC